rnacentral:rRNA from 1 species
AUUGAACGCUGGCGGCAGGCCUAACACAUGCAAGUCGAGCGGAGCUGCGGACGGGUGAGUAAUGCCUAGGCAUCUGCCUGGCAGUGGGGGCUAACGUACGGUACCGGGCGCUAAUACCGCAUCCUAUCAGAUGAGCCUAGGUCGGAUUAGCUAGUUGGUGGGGGAAAGGCCUACCAUGGCGACGAGCCGUAACUGGUCUGAGAGGAUGAUCAGUCACACUGGAACGGAGACACGGGCCAGACUCCUACGGGAGGCAGCAGUGGGGAAUAUUGGGCAAUGGGGGAAAGCCUGAUCCAGCCAUGCCGCGUGUGUGAAGAAGGUCUUCGGAUUGUAAAGCUCUGUAAGUUGGGAGGCGUUACCAACAGAAUAAGCACCGGCUAACUUCGUGCCAGCAGCCGCGGUAAUAC